rnacentral:lncRNA from 1 species
UGAAGAUGACUCAUGGAAAACAGCUUGGGUGAGUAUGCUCAGGCACACACAGAUACACACAGAUACACACAUAUACACACAGAUACACACAGAUACACACAGCUACACACAGAUACACACAGAUACACACAGAUACACACAGAUACACAUACACACAGCUUCACACAGAUACACACAGAUACACACAGCUACACAUACAGACAGCUACACACAGAUACACACAGAUACACACAGAUACACACAUAUCAACACAGCUUCACACAGAUACGCACUGCUACACAUACACACAGCUACACACAGAUACACACAGAUACACACACAUAGAUACACACAUACACACAGCUACACACACACAGCUACACACAGAUACACGCUGCUACACACAGAUACACACACACACACACACAGAUACACACAGAUACACAACAGAUACACACAGAUACACACAGCUACACACAGCUACACACAGAUACACACAGAUACACACAGAUACACACACACACAGAUACACACAGCUACACACACACACAGAUACACACAGCUACACACACACACAGACACACACAGAUACACACAGAUACACACAGCUACACACAGAUACACACACACAGAUACACACAGCUACACACACAGAGAUACACACAGCUACACACACACACAGACACACACAGAUACACACAGAUACACACAGCUUCACACAGAUACACACAGAUACACACAGACACACACAGUUACACACAGAUACACACAGAUACACACAGACACACACAGUUACACACAGAUACACACAGAUACACACAGACACACACAGUUACACACAGAUACACACAGAUACACACACAGCUACACACAGCUACACAGAGAUACACACAGCUACACACAGAUACACACAGCUACACACAGAUACACACAGCUACACACAGAUACACACAGAUACACACAGAUACACACACACACUGCUACACACAGCUACACACAGAUACACACAGAUACACACACACACACAGAUACACACUGCUACACAUACACACAGCUACACACAGAUACACAGAUUCACACAGAUACACACAGAUACACACAGCACAGCCGUGUGUUUCUCCUCUCUGAGAG